UCAGCUGACCUAACAGAGACAUCCCCUGACACUUUAGACACUCCCCUUGACUACACAGAGACAUCCCAUGCCCACACAGAGACUUGUCUGACCACCCAGAGACCUCCACUGACCUCAUAGUGAACCCCUCUUCCCUCAAAGUGAGGUCUCCUGAUUUCACAGAGAACUCCCUGAACACACAAAGAACUCCCAUGACCUCCAAGAAACCUCUAGUGACAUUAUAGAGACCCCUCUCUGACCUCACCGAGACCUGAUAUCACAGAGGCCAGCCAUUACCUCAACAAGAUCCCCUACAACACAGUGAGAACUCCACUAAUUUCAUGGAAACCUCAAGUGACUCUCACCAGAUCUAGGAUCUCAGGGAAAUGAAGAGAGGAUGACCUGCCACCCUGUUCAUGGGAAAAAGCCACUUGAAUUUUGAACUGUGUUUUAAGAACCAUACAUAUUCCUCAAGUCAAGGACAGGAUCACAAUGAACAACUAAGUGAGCAUUGAAGAAAACCUUGGUAGUCCUUGAGCAGAGCAGGAGGAACACCGUGACACCAAGUCGAAAGCAUUGAGGAACUCGUGGAUGUGCAGGAGCAAGCUCACAGAGUAAAGAUUCCCAGUGUUUUCAACAAGGGAGGAGUUAAAUGUUUCCAGUUAAUCCAGAAUAACCUAAAUUUAUGUUGCCUGGUGUUUUUUUCUACUGUGGCCUCAAACUUUGGGCUUACUGCUUAGAACAGAAUAAUUACUUAGGAACUGUUUAAUCUUAUUUUUUAGUUAUUAAAAAAAUCCAUUGAGUUUUCAGCACUGUUCUGGGUGCUGGCAAUAGAGCAGCAACAAAGACAUGAAAUUGUGGUCAAGAAGACUAUAUUCUAGUGAAGGGGCAAACUACAUGUCAUUAAAUCAAUAAACAGAAUUACCUUCUCGUAGUUGUGUUAUGAAAGAAUAAAAAUGAGAGCUGAGGGGAGCAUGAUAUGUGGAAACUUCUCUGGAUACUUGUUGAGUAAAUAAAUCCUUAUUGACAGACUCAACAACAGAGAGAAGAUGAAUGAUGUUCUCCAGCAUCACAUCUCUGUGUAGCUUUUGCCAGGAUGUGCCCACCAAGGCCUAUUCUUCCUGGGUGAAGCCCAGAACCACAUCCAUGAAGGUCGCUGAUUCCUAAAACAUUGUGGACAUUCUGGUUCAGACAGGGACGUCUCUACCAGAGUCCAGGGGCAGAAAGUUGACAUGAUAGAGUUGGGGAAAUGAGGCUGUAGGUAUAGAAAGCUGAAGUCCUCUUUGGGGUUCUAGCCAAACGCUUCCCUGUGCUGAUCUGGCAUGUGUUAUUCUUGCAUAACCGCAAACGUAUAUACAGUCUGUACACAGCCUUAAUACAUACUAGCUUCAUUAUCACAUGAUGUGCAAUGUGAAAUAAACUGGACAUUUCCCAA
ensembl:lncRNA